rnacentral:lncRNA from 1 species
GAACUCGAAAAAAAAAGAAACACCUCACCUUCUCUGUUUCGAUAAACACUCUACACUUGGCCGGAAUUACGAGUACGUCGCCGAAACCACCAUCAUGAAGCCAGAACACAUCCCUACACCCUUCUGUUCCCAUCUCGACAACACUCAAAAACCAUCCUCUAAUCCUCGCUCUCACACUCGAGUCACUUGCACAAGCCACUGGAGUUACGAAACCUUGCCGGAGUAAACUAGUUUCGCCGGAGAAGAACUCGUAGCGUCGGAGGACGCAGACGUCGCCGGAACCGAAACCCGACUAGACGUGUCUCGGUAUAACUUCUUGUCUUUUCUAUUUGCUUUCGUUUUCUCGUUCGAUCUUUGAUUGAAACUUUAUCUUUUACGACAUUAAUAUUCAGUUGCAUAUUCUUUAAAGACUAUUUUUUUACUGUAUAAUAGGCGAUAGUCCAUUUUUUUUACGGAUGCAAUUAACUUUAAACUUACUAGUAUAAGUACUUUGCGUACAAUUUUUGUUUACAAGUAUAAUAACUGGAAAGAUAAACAUGCAAGUAUUUUACUUCAUAUUUUAAUAGUGACAUCGAGUUACUGUGAAGUAACUAUGAAUAAAUGAAAUAAGCAUGAUUUCAACAAUAAGCUAGAGUAGUCCAAAUAAAACAAGCUGAUAUUGUUUCCCUUUCUUUUAUUUUUAAAUCCAUUCUUUCUUUUUUUUUUCUUUUUUUUUUAACUCUAAAUCAUAAGUUAACAGUUUUUUUUUCUUUUUUAUAUUUAUUAUUAAUUCAUUUUUCUUAUAUAAUAAGAACUCUAAACAUGGAUAAUUAAGUAUAAUUCUCAAUAUUAAUCAGUUAUAAUAACCAAAUGCUUUAAUUUGUAAACCUUAAAAAUUAGGAAUUAUCUAACUUGUAGAAAUUAACUAGAUCGUUUACGUGUGAUACUUUCAUAUCUAGGAUAAUCACGCUCGUACGUUCGGUUUCUCAAUCCUUACUCGUGCGUUAUUUUACAAGAAAUCGCAACGCAACCAAUGUGAGUAUACUCGAUCCCAUUUUCGUUUUAAACACUUUGGGUGCCACAUGUAUUCCAUAUUCAAAUUACACAACACUUGAACCUUGUUAUAUACGCACUCUAUCCAUUUUAAACAUGACACAAUUUGAUGCUUGUUAAUCUCGUAUGCUAGGUAAACUUUUCGUGUCUAUAUGCUCAUUAACCUUGUUAAACUUAUUAAACUUGUUAGACUUGUUAAACUUGUUAAACUUUGAGUCUUGGGGUGGUUGCGUGGGAAACUUGUGAGACUUGUUAAACUUCUUAUACUUAUUUACGCACCGCCCUUGAGUGAGUCUUGGGGUGUUAGCGUUGGAAACUUGUGAGACUUGUUAAACUUCUUAUACUUAUUUACGCACCGCCCUUGAGUGAGUCUUGGGGUGUUUGCGUUGGAAACUUGGGUUGACAUAUAGUGACACUGUUUCAGCAUAUUUGUAACCUGUAUUAUGUUGUUCAUGUUGGAUACGAGUACUUAAACUAUUUUAUUCUACUAUGCUACGUAUCAAACUUGUAUACUCGCCAACAUUUUUUUGUUGAUGUUAUUUUAAUACAUGUUGCAGGUUGAUUAGUACAAGAUUCAAGAAAACAAGCUAGGAUGGCAUUAGAAACCCAUUUUAGCAAUUAAUUAAUGUUUGGAUUUAUGUUUGAAUAUUCGAGACUUUGUAUUACUUUUCUAGUUUUAAUAAAAUGAUUUAAUUCAUAUU